UGCCGGCGGCCGCUCGUUGUGCGGCCGGGCGGGGCGCCGCCUCCCGCAGCCGCCCUGGUUGAGCCCGGUGGCUUCAAAAGGGGCAGCUCCGAGAGAGGGUCUGUGUGAUAGUGGCUGAGGAGGAGCUUGUUUCUAAUAGAGGAGCCAGACGGCCGCAGUCUCUGCACCGUACACCUUGACCACGUUCCCCCGUUGUGCCUCAGCCUCUGGGUUGCGCUGUCUUCUGGGGUGAUUCCCGCUUGCCUCCAUGUUGUGUUUGGGUGGCCGAGACUGAGGUUUCAAGGUCCCUCCAGGAAGGAAGGGUGAAGGAGCACUGGAACAGGUUACCCGGUGAUCUUGUGGACUCACCCUCUAUGGAGAUGUUCAGGACCAUCUGGACGCCUUCCUGUACAACCUAUUGUAAGAAUUCUGGAACAACCAGAUGAAGAUGUGAUCCUAACAGUGAUGGAUUUCCCUACUGCUGUUUUUGGGUAUCCCUUUCCAUAGAAGACCAAGAGCCUUUAGGCACGGUGGUGGUAUCACAUCAUUCCUUCAGAAUAAGAUUAAUAAAGUUAAGCCAGCAAGAGAUCCACAAUGAAACUGAGUGUUUGUAUCCUGGGUACUUGUAGUAGACCAUUUCUAGCAACACCAAGAUAUUGUCAGCCCUGGGUAUUGGUAUGAAUCAAGCAUAUGCCAGGUCUACUUUCUUAACUUUUUGAACAUUAACAUGAUUUGGAUAGUUCUGAAUGAGCUUGUUCAGAAAGGAGAAAUUUGGUAUGCUUGUUGGUUUGCUAGAAACAUGAAGGAUUGCAAAGAGUUAACCUUAGCUGACUUCCUCAUUAGUCAGACUAGUCUGGGCUUGAAGGAUAAAAAAAGUUUUUUUGAAAGCCAUGUUUGUCAUUGCUGUAGAAGAGGCUUGUUUCAUGAAUCAGUGAAAGAAUGAAUACAUGCAGAAGAUGCUUUAGGAUGAUGAUUUCUAAGUUUCUUUGUGCUAGCAUUUACCUCACUGUGAAGAGUAAACUAAAGGGAGGUCUUAGGAAUUAUCUUUGGAGAACACCAGUUGGUCUAGAAUCCAUUAUUCUGCUUGCAUUCACAUCUUUUGUUUGUACUGACCGCAAUUCUUCCAAGAAAUAAACUGUGUUGAUGCUGAAUAAUAAUUGUGGGUUCAAUUUCUCAUUAUGCCUCCAAAUUCAUAUUAAAGGAACAUUACAUUUACAAGGAAAUUUCACAUUUAAAAAUAAUCGUGCAUCCCUAGUUCAGCUGUUGUCUGUUUAUGUUAGUCUCUUCAUGGCAAUGCAUCCUAUUUUUACUUUAGAAUUCCAGGCUUAGCCAGUACGGAGGAUGUUCUCCUUCAGAACCAGUGUCAAGUGUUACAAAGUGCAAAAUGUGCUCAGAGUGGCUGCAGAAGUUGAAUGAGACAGAAUAUUGCAGAAAGAGAAAGAAAGUAAGUAAGAAAAUGUCUUGCAAAAAUUAUUUUUAGUCCUAUCUUCCUUCUGCCUGGAAAGUUACUUUGGUUAGCACAUCUUCAGAUUUGGUGAGGAAUUGCAUGCUUUUAUUUUCAGGGUGUUCUGACAUUUUUGGGCGCAGACUUAAAAAACACUGAGCAGUAAGACUUCAGCUGGGGUCUGUGGCUGUACUACAUAAAAUAUGAUUUAAAAGAGGCUGUGUAUGAAACAAAAUGGACUUCCAGAAUUAAUAUUUUGUC